rnacentral:rRNA from 1 species
UGCCAAACUCUAGCCCAAUCCACAUGACAUGGAAUAACAAAGCUACUCACAACACUUAACCAAAGCAUUUGCUAGUCCCAGUAUAGGCGAUAGAAAAGACACCAUUGGCGCGAUAGAGAUCACGUACCGUAAGGGAAAGAUGAAAUAAAAAUGAAAAACCCUAAGCUAUAAACAGCAAAGAUCAACCCUUGUACCUUUUGCAUCAUGGUCUAGCAAGAAAAACCAAGCAAAAUGAAUUUAAGUUUGCCACCCCGAAACCCGAGCGAGCUACCUAUGAGCAGCUAUUGUGAGCGAACCCGUCUCUGUGGCAAAAGAGUGGGAUGACUUGUAGGUAGAGGUGAAAAGCCAACCGAGCCGGGUGAUAGCUGGUUGCCUGUGAAACGAACCUAAGUUCACUCUUAAUUCUUCUCCAAGGAAACUCAAAACCCCAAUGAAGCGAAUUAAGGGCUAUUUAAAGGAGGUACAGCUCCUUUAAAAAAGAAAACAAUCUCCACGAGCGGAUAAGUAAACACCCCAAAUAAAUACCCUGUGGGCCCUCAAGCAGCCAUCAACAAAGAGUGCGUUAAAGCUCUGCACCCAAAAAUAUCGAAUCCAUAUGACUCCCUCCCCACUAACGGGCUAACCUAUAGUUCAAUAGGAGAAUUAAUGCUAGAAUGAGUAACCAGGGUUCUCCCUCUUCGACGCAAGCUUACAUCAGUACAUUAUUAACAAGCACCCAAUAUACGACAAAUCCAACAAGCAGAGUAUUAUCCACCUUGUUAACCCGACAAAGGAGCGUCCACUAAGAAAGAUUAAAACCUGUAAAAGGAACUAGGCAAACCCAGGGCCCGACUGUUUACCAAAAACAUAGCCUUCAGCAAACCAAAAGACAAGUAUUGAAGGUGAUGCCUGCCCGGUGACAUAGUUUAACGGCCGCGGUAUCCUAACCGUGCAAAGGUAGCGCAAUCAAUUGUCCCAUAAAUGGGGACUAGUAUGAAUGGCUAAACGAGGUCUUAACUGUCUCUUACAGGCAAUCGGUGAAAUUGAUCUCCCUGUACAAAAGCAGGGAUAUACCCAUAAGACGAGAAGACCCUGUGGAACUUCAAAAGCAGCAGCCACCCCAAAUUACAUACCAACCCACCCGGGCUCACUUACCUAACGGGCCACUGGCUUGCACUUUUUCGGUUGGGGCGACCUUGGAGCAAAGCAAAACCUCCAAAUCUUGGACCUCACAUCUAGACUAAGAGCGACCUCUCAACGUGCUAACAGCAACCAGAUCCAAUAUAAUUGAUCAAUGGACCAAGCUACCCCAGGGAUAACAGCGCAAUCUCCUCCAAGAGUCCAUAUCGACGAGGAGGUUUACGACCUCGAUGUUGGAUCAGGACAUCCUAGUGGUGCAGCAGCUACUAAGGGCUCGUUUGUUCAACGAUUAACAGUCCUACGUGAUCUGAGUUCAGACCGGAGCAAUCCAGGUCGGUUUCUAUCUAUGAUGAGCUCUUCCCAGUACGAAAGGAUAGGAAAAGCGAGGCCAAUACUACAGGCAAGCCUCCGCCUUAAGUAAUGAAGUCAACUAAAUUACGAAAGGCUAUCACCCCCCCCCCCCCCGUCCUAGAAAAGGACCA